rnacentral:rRNA from 1 species
CGGCCUUGACAUACUAAGAACUUUCCAGAGAUGGAUUGGUGCCUUCGGGAACUUAGAUACAGGUGCUGCAUGGCUGUCGUCAGCUCGUGUCGCGAGAUGUUGGGUUAAGUCCCGCAACGAGCGCAACCCUUUUCCUUAUUUGCCAGCGGGUCAUGCCGGGAACUUUAAGGAUACUGCCAGUGACAAACUGGAGGAAGGCGGGGACGACGUCAAGUCAUCAUGGCCCUUACGGCCAGGGCUACACACGUGCUACAAUGGUCGGUACAAAGGGUUGCUACCUCGCGAGAGGAUGCUAAUCUCAAAAAGCCGAUCGUAGUCCGGAUCGCAGUCUGCAACUCGACUGCGUGAAGUCGGAAUCGCUAGUAAUCGCGGAUCAGAAUGCCGCGGUGAAUACGUUCCCGGGCCUUGUACACACCGCCCGUCACACCAUGGGAGUUUGUUGCACCAGAAGUAGGUAGUCUAACCGCAAGGAGGACGCUUACCACGGUGUGGCCGAUGACUGGGGUGAAGUCGUAACAAGGUAGGCGUAGAUGA